AGUGAACGCUGGCGGUAGGCCUAACACAUGCAAGUCGAACGGCAGCACAGUAAUAGCUUGCUCUUACGGGUGGCGAGUGGCGGACGGGUGCUGAAUACAUCGGAAUCUACUUUUUCGUGGGGGCUAACGUAGGGAAACUUACGCUAAUACCGCAUACGACCUACGGGUGAAAGCAUGGGAUCUUCGGACCUUGCGUGAUUGUAUGAGCCGAUGUCGGAUUAGCUAGUUGGCGGGGUAAAGGCCCAACAAGGCGACGCUCCGUAGCUGGGCUGAGCGGGUGAACAGGCAAAAUGGAAAUGAGACACGGUCCAAAAUCCUAAGGGAGGCAGCAGGUGGGAAUAUUGGAAAAUGGGGGGAAGGCUGAUCCAGCCAAACCGCGGGGGGGAAGAAGGCGUUCGGGUCGGAAAAGCCUUUUGUUGGGAAAGAAAAGCAGCAAGUUAAAAACCCGCUGGUCUGAAGGUACCCAAAGAAUAAGCACCGGCUAACUUCGGG
rnacentral:rRNA from 1 species